UCUCUAGAUUUUAAACGGCACAACGCCGAUCGUGUGGCCUAUGAACGAAAAACGGGAGAAGGGGAAACCGAUAUCCUUCGAGUGACACACACGCAUGCAUCUGCAUGCGUAUUCCGCUGAACCGAGACUACACAUCUCUCUCGAUCUCCCAUGAUUUUUCUGCUAUCGCGCUCAUCCGGGUGUUAGGCAUCCUCAGUCUGUCCAGAACUUUCACUGUGGAAGGAUGUGUUGGAGUGAUGUGUGAUUUCUUGUGCCCCGUACUUUGCUCGUUUACGUUUUGUGCCGUGUUCCUUCUUCUUCAAUUAUGGAAUGAUUUAUCGUUGUAAAUUUCUAAGUUACAGUGCACGCGCAUGUUAAUCGACGGUUGCCAACAUCCCGCAAAACGAUCGACGGAAGGAAAACGGUGUCCGGUUUUAAAAUAUAAAGAUUUCAUUACAGCUCUUUCGUAGAAGAGCGCACUUCAAUGACGCCUAGGAUACGGCUAAACAUGCGCAGCAGCAGUCCGUGACGUCAUUUCCAGACAGGCGCCGGCUGAACACGCGCAGCACCAGUCGAGGAUAUCCUAGAGCAGAGGGUAGAAGGAAGAACAAGAGGAAGGGUAACAGAAAGCAACCGCAGCAUUUGGAAGGGGUGAAGCAUCCUGCCGUAUACAGAGUGUGAGUGUGCCAAAACGCAUGUGGAAAGAGUAACACCAAUAAAUAGCAUGCGAAAGUGUGCAUAAAGCAAAAAGAAAAAGCGUCACUACUACAACCAGCAAUCCGAAAAUAUAAGGGGAGGGAUAAAUACAAAUGUAUGCGUAAGCAGGACCAGCAAUCCAAGCAUUUGAAUGUGUGCGUCGGUUUGUGCCGUGCUGAAAGUUUUUACUUUAGCUGCUGCUAGUGUAAAAACUUAAGGAAAGCUUAAAGUAAAAAAUUUUUACACGGGGCGCCUUCGGAAAUUGUUGGCUGGGUAGUUUAUAAAUAACCGUGAAUGUCGCGAAUAAAAGCUCUCUUCCAAUUUUGCUGCACAACGAAUAACUGCUGGUAAAUAUUAAAGGUUUGAAGGUUACACCGAAACGCGGAAAAUAAAUUAUCCGAAAUAGUGAGAUUAAACAAGCAUAAUUUUGUGCACACUCGAUUGCACAUUCUGUAUGGAAAAAUAGAUUUGCGUCAACUGUCUACAAACGAAAUAGGAAUGAAAAUAACUUGAUACAUACACUAGGAAACUUUGCAACAACUAGUGAUUGAUUGUCUGAAUCGCAUCCACGGCUCAAAACCAUUUCCGAUCAUAGUUAUUCCGACUUCGAAUUCGGCCAAAUCAAACCAACAGUUCCGUUCGGUGCCGUCCGAAGCCUAUAGAGCCGUUUAGAGCCAUUCGGAACCGUUGGAGUCAUCGGUUGUCCCACCGAAUUUGACAAUCUCCAUGCCCCCGACUGCCGAGUAAAGGAUUCAUUCGGCUCCGAUUUUUUUCCGACCUUAGAAUGUUACAUCAUAUUCGAUAUUCGAUUGGAGCCACUUCUGUUUUUUGUCAUAAUCAUGCCACCAGAAAUGUUAAUAAAAAUGAUUGCAGGCAAGUUCGAAUUAUUUGUUCCCAACAUUCUGCAAGACGGAUUAAUGUAAUUUCCAACCUCCCCAAAAAUCAAAUCAAAAAUGAUAUGAUUACGCUUAAGCCUAAAGGUUUUAGAUUAAGGAUAAAAACAAUCGAAAUGCCGAAGCCUUGCAAUACAAAGCUUAUUAAUAGAUUAGCUCACACAGUCCUCAAUUCCUCAAUUCGCAAAUCAUCUCCCUUCAAGUGUCAAAAACAGAUUUGCCAAUCUGUAUGGGAUCACACACCACGACUCUUCGUCAGAUAAAAUUAUCGUAAUUUAAAAAAAGUUAUUCGUAAAAUACGGGUUCUUGUUAUAAGAAAUUAAUAUAUAUUCAGAACACUUGGAACUUGGAAAUUAGCGAAAAAUAAUGUUUAAACACGCGUUAUUACAAUUUUUCUCUUGAUCUAUCAAAAAAUUGCAAGCAAAUAUUUUUGUUAUUCAUCCAGUGAUGGAUAGCUCGGAUUGCUUGAAAAAGAUUCACUACAGGCUGCUAGACUUCUCCUACUUCAGUGAAAAAGUGUGUUUGACAGAUAUUUUUCUCAUAUAAAAAAGAGCACUUAUAAAAAUAACAUCGCGAAUUUGUACAAAACAAACGAUUCCAUAUAAGAAGCGAGGAGUACAAAAGGUCAAUUUGUUUAACAAUACAAAUGUAAAAACGUAUUUUACAUAAACAUUGGGGUAUAUUUUCCAUUCUCAACUUUGCGGCCCGCGAAUCACUGAAAAUUUGUACUUGCGGCCCUCUGAUGAAAUGAGUUUGACACAGCUGUUACAUAUAGCGUAUAUCGAGUAUGGCGUAUAUCGGGGUAUACCUGUCCUUGACCUCGUUGCUACACAGUCCUUGCUCCUUACCGGUCGAUUUUAGUGAUGUGCUGUAUGGAGCGCACCCACGACUCCGGUCCGACUCCGACUAUUUAACUAUUUUAGCUUUUUUAACUACUAUUACUAUACGACUUGCUGGUCUCGUAGUACAGUCGUCAACUCGUACGACUUAACAACAUGCCCGUCAUGGGUUCAAUCCCCAAAUAGACCGCGCCGCCAUACGUAGGAUUGACUAUCCUGCUAUGGGGGGGAAUCAAUUAGUCACUGAAAGCCAAGCCCACAAGUGGGCCGACAUCGGGUCGACUCCGGGUGAUUCCAAACGACUCCGAACGACUCCGGGCGACUCCCGACGACACCGACUCCGGACGACUCCAGACGACUCCGACUCAGGACGACUCCGGAUGACUCCGGGCGACUCCGGACGAUACCGACUCAGGGCGAUUCCGGACGACUCCGGCGAUUUCGGACGAUUCCGAAAGACUCUGGAUAUUACAGCGCGGACCUACCUUCUGGAGUCGAUUCCGAUAUUAUCGGAGUCGGAUCGGAAUCGACUCCGGAUUUUUGCCAACUUUACCCAUC